rnacentral:lncRNA from 1 species
CCUGGUUAAGCGGUCAUUUCAGGCGUAGACCAUGUCAACGGCGUGUGGAUUUCCACCGAUUUUCACAGUAAACGUUAAUUUAUUUAUGACGGGGCAAUAAAAGGACUUUAAUUUGUAGAGAGAUGUCAUCUCCAGGAAAGGUGUUUUGAAAAGUUAUGGAACCCAGCAAUGGCUCAAGGACGGCACCACCGAACGGCUCGCACGCCAAUCCCAUCGACAACAAUCACGUGAGUCCAAACCAAGAGACCACGACUCUUCCUCCGAAGAAGAAAAUAAUUCCCAGAUGGGUGUUAGCAGUAAUCUUCCUCAUCCUCCUCCUGCUUCUUGCAGGAGCUGCUUCGUUGGCCUGGUACUUUCUAGAGUACCGUGUGUGGGUGCUGGAGCCCCGCGUGGAGCAGCAGUACACGGCUCACGUCCGCAUCCUCAACCGUAACUUCUCCUCUGCUCUCUCCUCCCACGGCACCAGGGAGUUUCAGGCGGAAGCCAAGGCUGUGCAGGCCAUGGUGAGAAACCACCACCCAGGGGCACAACCCUCACACCUCCCCCGAGGCCCGUUUUCACACCUCCAAACCCUCGGUGUGGCCUGUUAACCUUAAGCUGCCAUGUAAAAGAGCUCCCAAGCAUUUACCCAGCAUGUGUGAGCAGUGUGAGGCCGUAGCCCAGGGGCUGUGGCAGAGGCUGUGUGACAUGUCUGCAGGUAGUUGGCAUUGAGCACAUCGUUCAUAUUGGCUUCAGACUUACUUCUGAAUGCGUGCAGUGCUCUGUGUUUUGAUGGCCAUAUUAACACGCCGCCUGUGUUGUGUUGAUGAUGAUGAUGAUGAUGAUGAUGAUGAUGAUUGUUAGGACUACAGCAGUCGCACUGCACGUGUCAUCCAGAGACUGCGCGUGAGAGACGCGUGGCUUAUGCGUAGCAUAGGAAACGUACCCUGCCAUUUAUUCAUUUAACAGAUGCUUUAUCCAAACACACGUGCGGCACCGUUCGAUGGCCAAUAGCUGGAGGCUGUGUAAUGUGAGCAUGGUGGUGGCAGGACUCCACAUCCCUCAGACGCACACAUCGCACAUCGUGGUGCUUUUGUUUUCCUUUGCCUUGGGGCUCAGUUUUUGGAAAGACAAACCUGAUAGCUCGCGUCGCCAUUAUGAAUCGGUGGGCAUGGAUAU